UACGAAGGGGGCUAGCGUUGCUCGGAAUCACUGGGCGUAAAGGGUGCGUAGGCGGGUCUUUAAGUCAGGGGUGAAAUCCUGGAGCUCAACUCCAGAACUGCCUUUGAUACUGAGGAUCUUGAGUUCGGGAGAGGUGAGUGGAACUGCGAGUGUAGAGGUGAAAUUCGUAGAUAUUCGCAAGAACACCAGUGGCGAAGGCGGCUCACUGGCCCGAUACUGACGCUGAGGCACGAAAGCGUGGGGAGCAGACAGG
rnacentral:rRNA from 1 species